rnacentral:rRNA from 1 species
CAAGAGCGUAUAUUAAAGUUGUUGCAGUUAAAAAGCUCGUAGUUGGAUUUCUGGUACAAUGCGCCUGGCCCGCGGCGGUUACGUCUGUGAGUGCCGGUGCGCGUUUGCCAUCCUUCUAGAGAACGUUUCUACCCUUCACUGGGCCGGACUCGCGAUCUAGAUCUUUUACUUUGAAAAAAUUAGAGUGUUUAAAGCAGGCUUUUGCUGUGAAUACAUUAGCAUGGAAUAAUAAUCUAGGACUUCGGUUCUUAUUUUGUUUGGUUUCUUAGUACUGAAGUAAUGAUUGAUAGGGAGUAGUUGGGGGUUGGCUAGUAUUGGUCCGGCCCGAGAGGUGGAAAUUACUUUGGUAUUCGGUUCAAGACUAACUUAUGCGAAAGCAUUCACCAAGGAUGUCUUCUUUAAUCAAGAACGAAAGUUAGGGGAUCGAAGAUGAUCAGAUACCAU